UCCUGACUCAAUGUUGACAAAACUGAGGCACACACCUGGAACCAGGACACUCCUACAGCAGAGACAGAAAUGGUCUUUGUCAAUGAGCUGGAAGAAAACAUAAAAUAUUUACCAUUCAGGUCUGUGGGUGACAAGGAAGAUCAACAGCAGAAUGUGUAAAUAAGGCCACUGCAAGCAGCGAUGCUGCCUAAGGACUGCCCUUAAGAGCCAAGCGUCAGGCUGUUCAGAGACAGAUGCAGUCCCACGGGAGGAGCAAGUUGGAUGGCAUUUUAGGCAGAGCAGGAAAACCAGCUGAGCACCGGGAGUGAUCCACGGGUGCGUAACAGAAACCUCAGCACACUGCUGGCACGGGUGGGAUCGCUGCUGAAUGCUCCGCCCUGAUCCAAAUGGUGAAAAACUGGAGACAGAGAAGCAAUAUUUAUAGGGUUGGUGAGUCUGGAGUCCGAGGGGGAGCUCUGCAGAUCUGCAAUGGGAGCAUUGAAUCUGCGGAUAUCAGCCUGCACACAGCUCCAUGGGAAAAGGACCUGGAAUGGAGCAUUCGCUCGAGCAGACCGAGGUGCAGCAGCAACUGAAAGCAGAAGCCAGACAAAGCUCAGUUUAAAAGGAGGUUCAACCAUUAAACCACCCACUCCAGGGAGCGCAACCGGUCUCAACCGCCUCGGUUGCUUUUCAACAACACUGAACAUUACAGUCAUUUAGAAACCCUACAAACGUACAGAAAUUUUCAGUUCAGACUUACAACAACCAUUUCCAGAAGCGCCGAGGACCCAUGCAGAGCGCUGGCUCUGCUUUACCCCGUGGGAUUUGGCUGGUGUGGGCCCUGCUGUGUGCUAAGGAGCAGCCGGGUGUUCCAGCACCGUCCAAGCAGUGAUGGAUUGCGCACAGCAGCAGUCACGGUCCUGCGGAGACGUGCAGAGAGGUGCGAGUGCAGACAAAGCUGUCUGAGCUCCCACGGUAUUAUGGUCUGGCUGAAUUGUUUCGAAGCCUGCGCUGCGUUACAGAGCUAGUUUGCUUCGGGGUUAAACAGACCAAAAUUGAGCCUUAAAAUGCAGACGUUAAGAUCCGUAGAUCUAUUUAAACAUCAGCUUAAAAUACAGGCAAGUUCACGGCCGGUGCUGUUUCAAUCAGCCAAUUCUUUAAUGGCUUUGCAUGCUGAUUUAACUCAUGAUGAUGCAAGCGACUGAAACAUUGCAGCACAGCCCUGAGAACCCUGCAAACCCCAGGACAGCUCAGCACCACUCCGGCCAUCGCAUCCCGCUCCAGGAGGCGUCCCACGAUCCCAGGAGCAGCAGAGGAGCACUGUAUCGCUGUCUGCUUUAACCAACGCCACCGUCUCUUCCAUGUGAGGGCAGAAGGGGCUCCAGCAGUGCUCCCAUCAUGGCUGCUGGUGGGGCAGGGCGCAGGGAGGGAGCCAGCCUCCCAGUUUUCCUUUUUUUUUUUUUUUUUUCCCUUUGGAAAUGUGUUCUGUGUUGUGUGGACAACAGCUUCAAGACCAAACAGGGGAUGGGGAUGAAAGGAAGAAGGAAUAAGUAAAAAAUAAAGAAACGAGCAUAACCUGA